CAUCGGAACCUUCAGGGAGGAAAACAGGACACAGAGAUGACCACCUGGUGGAGGCAGGCUAAGGCUUUUGUCGGUGGAGCAAGAGAGUGAGCUUGUAAACCUGGUCAUUGCCAAUAAUGUAAUCCGCCUGCGAGAGAUUCAAAGGAGAGUGAUUGAGGAUAAUCAUCAUUUUCGAGGGAUAAAUGCCAUCAGCCUCUCCACAAUUUAUCGUACCCUCCGAAAGCACCGGUUCCGGAUGAAACCGCCAUACUGCGUCCCUUUCGAAUGAAACUCUGAUAGAGUGAAAGACCAACGAGUGGAAUAUGUUCAGAGAGUCUUUGAGAUUGAAGGCCAGCCUGUUCCCCAUGAAAUUAUCUUUGUGGAUGAGGCUGGUUUCAACCUGACCAAAAGAAGGAGAAGGGGGAGGAACAUAAAUGGCCAUCGGCUAUUGUAAAU